AGGGGAGUGAAAUAGAUCCUGAAACCGCAUGCAUACAAACAGUCGGAGCCUCGAAAGGGGUGACGGCGUACCUUUUGUAUAAUGGGUCAGCGACUUACGUUCAGUAGCAAGCUUAACCGAAUAGGGCAGGCGUAGCGAAAGCGAGUCCGAAUAGGGCGUUCAGUUGCUGGGCGUAGACCCGAAACCAGGUGAUCUAUCCAUGGCCAGGAUGAAGGUGCGGUAACACGUACUGGAGGUCCGAACCCACUAACGUUGAAAAGUUAGGGGAUGAGCUGUGGAUAGGGGUGAAAGGCUAAACAAACCUGGAAAUAGCUGGUUCUCUCCGAAAACUAUUUAGGUAGUGCCUCGUGUCUCACCUUCGGGGGUAGAGCACUGUCAUGGUUGGGGGGUCUAUUGCAGAUUACCCCGCCAUAGCAAACUCCGAAUACCGAAGAGUGCAAUCACGGGAGACAGACAUCGGGUGCUAACGUCCGGUGUCAAGAGGGAAACAACCCAGACCGCCAGCUAAGGUCCCCAAAUAUGGCUAAGUGGGAAACGAAGUGGGAAGGCUAAAACAGUCAGGAGGUUGGCUUAGAAGCAGCCACCCUUUAAAGAAAGCGUAAUAGCUCACUGAUCGAGUCGUCCUGCGCGGAAGAUGUAACGGGGCUAAGCCAUAUACCGAAGCUGCGGAUGCGUGCUUGCACGCAUGGUAGGAGAGCGUUCCGUAAGCCUGCGAAGGUGCCUUGUAAAGGGUGCUGGAGGUAUCGGAAGUGCGAAUGCUGACAUGAGUAGCGAUAAAGGGGGUGAAAGGCCCCCUCGCCGUAAGCCCAAGGUUUCCUACGCAACGUUCAUCGGCGUAGGGUGAGUCGGCCCCUAAGGCGAGGCAGAAAUGCGUAGCUGAUGGGAAGCAGGUCAAUAUUCCUGCACCAUUGUUAGAUGCGAUGGGGGGACGGAUCGCGGAAGGUUGUCCGGGUGUUGGAAGUCCCGGUCGCUGCAUUGGAGAAGGCGCUUAGGCAAAUCCGGGCGCAGGAUUCAAGGGUGUGGCGCGAGCUCCUUCGGGAGCGAAGCAAUUGGAAGUGGUUCCAAGAAAAGCCUCUAAGCUUCAGUCUAACGAUGACCGUACCGCAAACCGACACAGGUGGGCGAGAUGAGUAUUCUAAGGCGCUUGAG
rnacentral:rRNA from 1 species